UAGGGAAUAUUGCGCAAUGGGCGAAAGCCUGACGCAGCGACGCCGCGUGGAGGAUGAAGGCCUUCGGGUUGUAAACUCCUUUCGUGGGGGACGAACACUGACGUUACCCCAGGAAGAAGCACCGGCUAACUCCGUGCCAGCAGCUGCGGUAAGACGGAGAGUGCAAACGUUGUUCGGAUUCACUGGGCGUAAAGGGCACGUAGGCGGCCCGGCGACUCGGUUGUGGAAUCCUUCCGCUUAACGGGAGAAUCGCUGCCGAAAAUACCGGGCUCGAGGUCGUUAGGGGUGAGUGGAACUCCUGGUGGAGCGGUGAAAUGCGUAGAUACCAGGAGGAACGCCGGAGGCGAAAGCGACUCACUAGGACGAUCCUGACGCUGAGGUGCGAAAGCUAGGGGAGCAA
rnacentral:rRNA from 1 species